CGUAGGGACGCAGGGGGCGCUCCUCGCGCCGCGCAUGCGCGCUGGAGCUGCUGCGGUCCUGCCCCUCUGGUCAAGUCAGAGGCGGGUCUUGCAGCCCUGACGCUUUGGUUAUGCGGAGGGUGGUUUUGUGCAGGUGACAGCUUUUCGGCCUGCCUUCCACAUACGAACUCUCGAUAACUUUCAAGAGCCAGGUGAGAAGAGGGCAGUGUUAUACUAGGAGAAGCCACUUGGAGAUAAUGCCAGGUGCUUUUCGGUGUGAUUUGCAGGAAAUUCUCCCACCAGAGACCCGUGUUAUGCCUGGCAUACAGGAGGCAUUCAGAACAUUUGAUGACUAGAAGUGUGUGUCUAUCUCAAUGACAC
rnacentral:lncRNA from 1 species